rnacentral:rRNA from 1 species
UACGGGGGGGGCAAGCGUUGUUCGGAAUUACUGGGCGUAAAGGGCUCGUAGGCGGCCAACUAAGUCGGACGUGAAAUCCCCAGGCUCAACCUGGGAACUGCGUCCGAUACUGAAUGGCUUGAAUUCGGGAGAGGGAUGCAGAAUUCCAGGUGUAGCGGUGAAAUGCGUAGAUAUCUGGAGGAAUACCGGUGGCGAAGGCGGCAUCCUGGACCGACAUUGACGCUGAUGAGCGAAAGCCAGGGGAGCAAACGGG